rnacentral:rRNA from 1 species
UACAGAGGUCUCGAGCGUUAGGCGGAAUCACUGGGCUUAAAGCGUGUGUAGGUGGAUGCCUAAGUACCUUGUGAAAUCCCACAGCUUAACUGUGGAACUGCUUGGUAUACUGGGUGUCUUGAGUCACUCAGGGGCGAGCGGAACAAAUGGUGGAGCGGUGAAAUGCGUAGAUAUCAUUUGGAACGCCAAUGGUGAAAACAGCUCGCUGGGGGUGUACUUACACUGAGACACGAAAGCCAGGGGAGCGAACGGG